GGCAGUGCGUGGCUGAAUGAUUACGCUGUCCGCUUUGUAAGCGGAUGAUUCUGGGUUCGAUUCCCAUCUGCUGUCC
rnacentral:tRNA from 1 species